UGCGUAGGCGGGGCAAUUAGUCAGUGGUGAAAUCCUGCGGCUUAACCGUAGAACUGCCAUUGAUACUGUUGUCCUUGAGUAUAGUUGAGGUGGGCGGAAUGUGUAAUGUAGCGGUGAAAUGCAUAGAGAUUACACAGAACACCAAUUGCGAAGGCAGCUCACUAAGCUAUAACUGACGCUGAGGCACGAAAGCGUGGGAGCGAACAGGAUUAGAUACCCUGGUAGUCC
rnacentral:rRNA from 1 species